rnacentral:tmRNA from 1 species
GGGGGCGACAUGGCUUCGACGCCGGUUGCAAUCCCUGCGGUGCAUGCCGAGAGCGUGAUGUAUCUCGUAAAUCCAACAUCACGAUUAAAUAGUCGCAAACGACGAAAACUACGCUCAGGGCGCGCUGGCAGCUUAAAACCUGCUGGUGUUAGCCUGGCCCCGAAGCGAUGUGCCCAUUCAUCGUGGACGGGAGAUGAGCGCAAAGUAAUGGGAUCGCGAUUGGCGGCGCCUUCACGUCAAUCGUCAAACUUAAGAAGGCUCGCGUUGCUGGAUCCUGCCCGUCGGAGCUAGUAACGCUAAAACAAAAGACGGAACUAAGCAUGUAGAGCCAAUGGGCGAGUGCCGGCGGACGCGGGUUCAAUUCCCGCCGCCUCCACCA